GCCAACAGCAACUCGAGCGGCAGCACAAGGGUAGUUUACUCUGAGGUGGCGAGCGGCGGACGGGUGAGUAAUGCCUAGGGAUCUGCCCAGUCGAGGGGGAUAACAGUUGGAAACGACUGCUAAUACCGCAUACGCCCUACGGGGGAAAGGAGGGGACCUUCGGGCCUUCCGCGAUUGGAUGAACCUAGGUGGGAUUAGCUAGUUGGUGAGGUAAUGGCUCACCAAGGCGACGAUCCCUAGCUGUUCUGAGAGGAUGAUCAGCCACACUGGGACUGAGACACGGCCCAACUCCUACCGAGGCCAGUGGGGAAUAUUGCACAAUGGGGGAAACCCGAUG
rnacentral:rRNA from 1 species